rnacentral:rRNA from 1 species
UGGGGAAUCUUGGACAAUGGGCGCAAGCCUGAUCCAGCCAUGCCGCGUGAGUGAAGAAGGCCUUCGGGUUGUAAAGCUCUUUUUACCAGGGACGAUAAUGACGGUACCUGGAGAAUAAGCCCCGGCAAACUUCGUGCCAGCAGCCGCGGUAAUACGAAGGGGGCUAGCGUUGUUCGGAAUUACUGGGCGUAAAGCGCACGUAGGCGGAUUGUUAAGUCAGAGGUGAAAUCCCGGAGCUCAACUUCGGAACUGCCUUUGAUACUGGCAAUCUAGAGUCCGGAAGAGGUUAGUGGAAUUCCCAGUGUAGAGGUGAAAUUCGUAGAUAUUGGGAAGAACACCAGUGGCGAAGGCGGCUAACUGGUCCGGUACUGACGCUGAGGUGCGAAAGCGUGGGGAGCAAACAGGAUUAGAUACCCGGGUAGUCCCUGAGCGGGCUGGCAAGGCGCAU